rnacentral:rRNA from 1 species
CGAAAGCCUGACGGAGCAACGCCGCGUGAGGGAUGAAGGCCUCUGGGCUGUAAACCUCUUUUAUCAAGGAAGAAGAUCUGACGGUACUUGAUGAAUAAGCCACGGCUAAUUCCGUGCCAGCAGCCGCGGUAAUACGGGAGUGGCAAGCGUUAUCCGGAAUUAUUGGGCGUAAAGCGUCCGCAGGCGGUCUUUUAAGUCUGUCGUCAAAGCGUGGAGCUUAACUCCAUUUCUGCAAUGGAAACUGGAAGACUAGAGUGUGGUAGGGGCAGAGGGAAUUCCCGGUGUAGCGGUGAAAUGCGUAGAUAUCGGGAAGAACACCAGUGGCGAAGGCGCUCUGCUGGGCCAUAACUGACGCUCAUGGACGAAAGCCAGGGGAGCG